UUCAUCAAAAAAGAAAGCCAUACAAGAAAUAUUCUUUUAGCCAACAGUGGAUUUCAUACGUGAGCUACCCUAAUUCCGUUUCCUCUGAUCUGAGAACCAAGAACACAGAGUCUUGGGAGAAAACCCCUUACAAUCGCUGAACUUGCAAAACCCUAGCACACUAUUUCCUCUUCCUCUUCCGUAAACUCCACGUUUCUCCACCGCUCCAUGCCUUGUCAUUUUUCACCGCUUGUCCAGUCGGAACCUCUAGCACUAUUUCAUCUCCCUCUUCCGUAAACUCCACGUUUCUCCCGCUCCAUCACCGAAAGACAUAACGGAACAACAAUUGCUGGAUCGUCAAGGUAUCGCACAUACCGAGAACCCAGAACCCUAGAGUCUUGGGAGAAAAAUCCUUACAAUCAUUGAGAAGUAGCAAGACCCUAGCACAACGAAACAGAAGGGACUCAAUAAAUUUUCGUUUGCGCCUUUCACAAACUUGCAGCAAAACUAGUGCUUCAGUUUCUAACUCCUUUGCUCCGAAUCAUGGGACUAAAACUAAAAUGCGCCUAUUGUGUUCGCUUUGGGCAUAUAUGCGGGCCAGUCUGCCUGCACCGCAAUUACUUAUCCGAUCUACAUAAAGAUAUGCCUGGGGUUAAAAGUGUUUCCUAAAAUCUUCGGCGCCGCCAGACUAAAAGAUCUAUUGAAUACAGUCGAAGAUACCGAGCAAUCGGGGGAAACCGCUAUUAGCCAUAUAUGUUCGCCGAGGCCCAUGGGGAUGUAAUAUUCAACUAGAGCGUACACGUCGCAAAUUAGCGUGCUCUUCGAAAAAAAAUUAAAACAGAAAUAAUUUUAAAAAAAUCUUAAAUGAAAACUCUUUUUUAAAAAUAAGAAAAAGAUAUAUCCUUAAUUUGAUUGCCUAAAAAUUAUUCUCUUUAAUAUGACAAAUGUAAGAAUCAAGAGAAAAGAAGAAAAAUUGUAAUAGGAGAGAAUAAAAGAAGAUGGGAUUUUAGUGUUACCUAAUUCUAGUGAGAUGAUUUUCUCCUGAUGUCUUUAAUACUGUAGUAAACUUUCCCUCCCUCAACUUGUACAUGUUAUUCUCCCAUGGUGAAGCAAUUCGCAGCAUUGCUGUCGUACCCCAUCCACACGUAUCACUAAAAUGUGGGUGAAUCUCAUGGUAUGGCCCAAUCACAUAUUGAGAUUGCUUAGUUAAAAAAUUCAAAUGUAAACCAUCAAUGUAACAUGAGUAGCCCAAUGAACAUGCACAAACCAACACUCCCCUUGCCUCCUCUGCAGUCACAUCUUGAUUUCCUAGAGAAGAUCUUAAUUAAAUUUGAAAAGAGGGAUGAUACUAACUAACCAUUGAUCUCCCGAACUCUAGGAAAUUCAAAAGUAAGAUGUAUGAGAAUUGCAUAACUCAGAAGAAAAACCAAACAUAAAAUUAUUCAUACAAAUGAAAUUAAAAAAAAAAAA